rnacentral:rRNA from 1 species
UACGGAGGGGGCAAGCGUUGUUCGGAAUUACUGGGCGUAAAGGGCUCGUAGGCGGCCAACUAAGUCGGAUGUGAAAUCCCCAGGCUUAACCUGGGAACUGCAUCCGAUACUGGAUGGCUUGAAUCCGGGAGAGGGAUGCGGAAUUCCAGGUGUAGCGGUGAAAUGCGUAGAUAUCUGGAGGAACACCGGUGGCGAAGGCGGCAUCCUGGACCGGCAUUGACGCUGAGGAGCGAAAGCGUGGGGAGCGAACAGG